UGCGGUUAAACAAAUAAUACAACUAUUUUUUUUCGGUUUGUUUAAUUUAGUUAAUAAAAGUUUUAUUUUUAUUUAGUGGAAUAUUGGGUGAAAUCCUAUUUUCUAUUUAAUUAGGUUUUUGAUAUUUGAGGCUAAGAAAUCUAGGUCUUAAACUGGGAUUAGAUACCCCAUUAUUCUGGACGUGAAAAUUGAAAACCUAAUUAGUAUAAGUUAUGUUCUUUAAAAUUAAUAAAUUUGGCGGUGUUUUAUUCCGAUCAGGGGAAUCUGUUCUGUAAUCGAUAAUCCACGAUUAAUAUAACUUGUUUUAUGCUUGUAUAUCGUCGUUGUUAAUUAUUUUUAGAAUAUAUAAUUUUAUAUUUUAUUUUAUGUUAAAUCAGAUCAAGGUGCAGUUUUUAACAAGUAGAAAUGGAUUACAAUGAAUUUAUUUUAGGAUUAGCUUUAUAAUUAAGGUUAUGAAUUUGGAUUUGAAUGUAAUUUUAAUUGUUUAUUAAAGUGAAUUAGGCUCUAAAAUGUGU
rnacentral:rRNA from 1 species